rnacentral:rRNA from 1 species
GACGAACGCUGGCGGCGUGCUUAACACAUGCAAGUCGAACGGAAAGGCCCUGCUUUUGUGGGGUGCUCGAGUGGCGAACGGGUGAGUAACACGUGAGUAACCUGCCCUUGACUUUGGGAUAACUUCAGGAAACUGGGGCUAAUACCGGAUAGGAGCUCCUGCUGCAUGGUGGGGGUUGGAAAGUUUCGGCGGUUGGGGAUGGACUCGCGGCUUAUCAGCUUGUUGGUGGGGUAGUGGCUUACCAAGGCUUUGACGGGUAGCCGGCCUGAGAGGGUGACCGGCCACAUCGGGACUGAGAUGCGGACCAGACUCCUACGGGAGGCAGCAGUGGGGAACAUUGCACAAUGGGCGGAAGCCUGAUGCAGCAACGCCGCGUGCGGGAUGACGGCCUUCGGGUUGUAAACCGCUUUCGACUGUGACGAAGCGUGAGUGACGGUAAUGGGUAAAGAAGCACCGGCUAACUACGUG